rnacentral:rRNA from 1 species
UACGGAGGGUGCGAGCGUUGCUCGGAAUUAUUGGGCGUAAAGCGUACGCAGGCGGCGCUGUAAGUCGGGUGUGAAAGCCCGGGGCUCAACCCCGGAAAUGCGCCCGAAACUGCAGCGCUUGAGUGCGGGAGAGGAAAGCGGAAUCCGUGGUGUAGAGGUGAAAUUCGUAGAUAUCACGGGGAACACCGGUGGCGAAAGCGGCUUUCUGGCCCGAUACUGACGCUCAUGUACGAAAGCGUGGGGAGCAAACAGG